rnacentral:rRNA from 1 species
AUGGGGAGGCGAUCCGGAGGCAGGAAGCUGCCCUUCUUCUCCGCCGCCUCCUCCUCGUCCUCCACCAAGCGCACCCGCUCCGCGCGCCGCCUCCCUUCCCUGCCCAAGCCCAGCUCGCCGCCUCCCCCCUCCCCGACCACUCCGCCCCCCGCGCCGCAGACCACCACGUCUCCGCCUGCCCCCUCUCCCGGGGGUAGUGCCGCCGUGGCCGGCGUGUCCGGCAAGGUCGGCAAGAAGAAGGCCGGCGCCCGCUUGUGGAUGCGGCUGGACCGGUGGGGCUCCUCUGAGAUCCUGGAGCUCGACAAGGCCUCCAUCAUCCGCCGCGCGGGCGUGCCCCCGCGCGACCUCCGCAUCCUCGGCCCUGUCUUCUCCCACUCCUCAAACAUCCUCGCUAGAGAGAAGGCGAUGGUCAUCAACCUAGAAUUCAUCAGGGCGAUUGUUACUGCGGAGGAGGUCCUCCUAUUGGACCCUCUGAUGCAGGAGGUGCUCCCUUUCGUCGACCAAUUGAGGCAGCAUCUCCCUCUGAGGAGCCUGGUGGGUGGGAAUGGUGAACACGGCGGUGAUAGCAAUGGGGUCAAGCAGGAUGGUUCGCCCGGGGAUCAGGUGCCCUGUCUUAAUGAGGCCACCGGGGCAGAGCAUGAGUUGCCAUUCGAGUUCCAGGUGCUGGAGGUCGGGCUUGAGGCCGUGUGCUCCACGUUGGACUCCAGUGUGGCUGAUCUUGAGAGGCGCGCUAUUCCCGUGCUCGAUGAGCUCACCAAGAAUGUCAGCACUAAGAACUUGGAGCGUGUGCGGAGCCUCAAGAGUGACCUUACCCGUUUGCUUGCCCGCGUUCAGAAGGUCAGAGAUGAGAUAGAACAUCUUCUAGAUGAUAAUGAAGACAUGGCACAUCUUUAUCUUACAAGGAAGCAAGCACAGAAUCAGCAGGUUGAGGCUUUAAUGACGUCUGCUGCUUCCAAUAGCAUUGUUCCCGCAGGAGCAAGUCUGCCAAGGCUGAACUCCAGUUUUCGGCGCAGUGUGAGCAUUGCCACCAGUAUAUAUUUGGAUAACGAUGUGGAAGACCUCGAGAUGUUGCUUGAGGCCUACUUCAUGCAGCUGGAUGGAAUUCGCAACAGAAUUUUAUCGGUCCGAGAGUAUAUUGAUGACACAGAAGACUACGUCAACAUUCAACUCGACAAUCAGCGAAAUGAACUGAUCCAACUUCAGCUUACGCUGACCAUUGCAUCUUUCGGCAUAGCCGUCAAUACCUUCAUAGCUGGGGCAUUUGCGAUGAACAUUCCAUGCCAUUUUUAUGACAUCGCAGAUGGCAGCUUCUUUUGGCCAUUUGUCGGAGGUACAUCGUCAGGCUGCUUUGUGAUCUCCGUUGUUCUGUUAGGGUACGCCUGGUGGAAGAAGUUGCUCGGUCCCUGA